UGGCCGAGUGGUUAAGGCGUUUGGCUGCUAACCAAAUGGACUCUGUCCGCGUAGGUUCGAAUACUAC
rfam:Monosiga brevicollis MX1 MONBRscaffold_10 genomic scaffold, whole genome shotgun sequence.